rnacentral:RNase_P_RNA from 1 species
UCGCUGUUUUCUUUUGAAAGCAGAGGAAAGUCCAUGCUCGCACGGUGCUGUGAUGCCCGUAGUGAUCGUGCCUGGUCAAACAAUAAGCCAGGGCAUUCCGGUUUUCCGGUUUGACGGCAGGUGAAUGACCUAAGUCUUCGGAUAUGGUCUUAUAACCUUGAAGGUGCCACAGUGACGAAGUUCCGGCAGAAAUGCUCGGAAGUGGAACGAGGUAAACCCCACGAGCGAGAAACUCAAACUUAUGGUAGGGGCACUUUUCCCGAGGAAUCAAGAACAAGGGACGAGGCGCAAAUGUAUUUUUGCGCAGAUAGAUGG